AGGGCUCAUGGUGGAUGCCUUGGUGCCAGGAGGCGAUGAAGGACGUGGUCAGCUGCGAUAAGCCUCGGGGAGCUGCAAACAAGCUUUGAUCCGGGGAUUUCCGAAUGGGGCAACCUGCUGCGGGUUAUACCGUAGCACCUGCGGCCCAAAACCAUUAAGCUGCAGGGGUCAGACCCGGGGAACUGAAACAUCUUAGUACCCGGAGGAGAAGAAAGCAAAAUAGCGAUUCCCCAAGUAGCGGCGAGCGAACGGGGAGGAGCCCAAACCGGGCCGGUGUAUUGAGCUUACCGGUGCUGCCGGUCCGGGGUUGUGGGGGCGGUUUUUAAGGCGGGCGGUAAACCGCCUUUAAGAGUGAGUAACCGUUUUGGUAGGUGAAGGCGUCUGGAAAGGCGUACCGUAGAAGGUAAUAGUCCUGUAGCCGAAACCAAAAGCGGCUCUUAGAACCGUUACCCGAGUAGCGCGGGGCACGAGGAAUCCCGUGUGAAUCAGGGAGGACCACCUUCCAAGGCUAAAUACUACCUGGCGACCGAUAGCGGAUAGUACCGUGAGGGAAAGGUGAAAAGCACCCCGGGAGGGGAGUGAAAUAGAACCUGAAACCAUGAGCUUACAAUCAGUCAGAGCACUAUGGGGAAGCUUGCUUCUCCAGUGUGAUGGCGUACUUUUUGUAGAACGGGCCGGCGAGUUAUGGUCGGUAGCGAGGUUAAGGGACUUUGUUCCGGAGCCGUAGCGAAAGCGAGUCUUAACAGGGCGAUUAGUUACCGGCUGUAGACCCGAAACCGGGUGAUCUACCCAUGGCCAGGGUGAAGCUCGGGUGAUGCUGAGUGGAGGCCCGCACCCACCGAUGUUAAAAAAUCGGGGGAUGAGCUGUGGGUAGGGGUGAAAAGCCAACCGAACCCGGAGAUAGCUGGUUCUCCUCGAAAUAGCUUUAGGGCUAGCCUCGGGGGUUUAGUUACGGAGGUAGAGCACUGAUUGAGCUAGGGGCCCGACAAGGUUACCGAACUCACUCAAACUCCGAAUGCCGUAACUUCAGACCCCGGGAGUCAGACUACGGGUGAUAAGAUUCGUGGUCGAAAGGGAAACAGCCCAGACCGUCGGCUAAGGUCCCUAAAUGCAGGCUCAGUGGGAAAGGAUGUGGAGCUGCCUGGACAACCAGGAUGUUGGCUUAGAAGCAGCCACCAUUUAAAGAGUGCGUAAUAGCUCACUGGUCAAGUGGUUCUGCGCCGAAAAUGUAACGGGGCUAAGCCUGCUACCGAAGCCACGGUCCAGCACUCAACCGAGGUUGAGUGCUGGAGGUAGGGGAGCGUUCUGCAUGCGUCGAAGCCGUACCGUGAGGAGCGGUGGAGCGUGUAGAAGUGAGAAUGCCGGCAUGAGUAACGAUAAGACAGGUGAGAAUCCUGUUCGCCGCAAGCCUAAGGUUUCCUGAGGAAGGUUCGUCCGCUCAGGGUAAGCCGGGACCUAAGCCGAGGCCGGAUGGCGUAGGCGAUGGAUAACUGGUGGAGAUUCCAGUGCCACCUUAAGGCCGUUAUGAGCGAUGGGGUGACGCAGGAGGGUAGGCGCAGCGCACCGUUGGUUGUGUGCGUCCAAGCGUGUAGGGAGAGCCGGUAGGCAAAUCCGCCGGCUUGUUAAUCCCGAGGCGCGAUGGGGAGCGAAAAUAUGUAGUAGCGAACUGGCCGAUCCCAUACUGCCGAGAAAAGCCUCUAGCCAGGCCUGAAGGUGCCCGUACCGUAAACCGACACAGGUAGGCGGGGAGAGUAUCCUCAGGCGCGCGGGAAAACCCUCGUUAAGGAACUCGGCAAAUUGACCCCGUAACUUUGGGAGAAGGGGUGCCCCGGUAGGGUGAGCACUUUUGCGGUGCAAGCCCGAGGGGGCCGCAGUGAAUAGGCCCAAGCGACUGUUUAUCAAAAACACAGGUCUCUGCGAAGUCGAAAGACGAUGUAUAGGGACUGACGCCUGCCCAGUGCUGGAAGGUUAAGGAAAAGGGUUAUUCAGCACUUUAAGCUUAGUCUUAAGUGCUGAAGAAGCUCUGAACCUAAGCCCCAGUAAACGGCGGCCGUAACUAUAACGGUCCUAAGGUAGCGAAAUUCCUUGUCGGGUAAGUUCCGACCCGCACGAAAGGCGUAACGACUUGGGCGCUGUCUCGACGAGGGACCCGGUGAAAUUGAAUUGCCCGUGAAGAUGCGGGCUACCCACGACAAGACGGAAAGACCCCGUGGAGCUUUACUGUAGCCUGAUAUUGGGUCUUGGUGUUAAAUGUACAGGAUAGGUGGGAGGCUUCGAAGCCGGGGCGCUAGCUUCGGUGGAGCCGUCCUUGGGAUACCACCCUUUUAAGAUCGGGAUUCUAACCUGGGGCCGUAAACCGGUCCGGGGACAGUGUCAGGUGGGCAGUUUGACUGGGGCGGUCGCCUCCUAAAAGGUAACGGAGGCGCCCAAAGGUUCCCUCAGCGCGGUUGGGAAUCGCGCGCAGAGUGUAAAGGCACAAGGGAGCUUGACUGUAAGAGAGACAUCUCGAGCAGGGUCGAAAGACGGGCUUAGUGAUCCGGCGGUUCCGGGUGGAAGGGCCGUCGCUCAACGGAUAAAAGCUACCCCGGGGAUAACAGGCUUAUCUCCCCCAAGAGUCCACAUCGACGGGGAGGUUUGGCACCUCGAUGUCGGCUCAUCGCAUCCUGGGGCUGGAGAAGGUCCCAAGGGUUGGGCUGUUCGCCCAUUAAAGCGGUACGUGAGCUGGGUUCAGAACGUCGCGAGACAGUUCGGUCCCUAUCUGUCGUGGGCGCAGGAAACUUGAGAGGGGCUGCCCCUAGUACGAGAGGACCGGGGUGGACGGACCGAUGGUGUACCAGUUGUCCCGCCAGGGGCACAGCUGGGUAGCUAUGUCCGGAAAGGAUAAGCGCUGAAAGCAUCUAAGCGCGAAGCCUGCCUCAAGAUAAGGUUUCCCACCCGGCACUGCGGUGCCGGGGUAAGACCCCAGGAAGAUGACCUGGUUGA
rnacentral:rRNA from 1 species